rnacentral:rRNA from 1 species
UACGUAGGGUGCAAGCGUUUGUCCGGAAUUAUUGGGCGUAAAGAGCGUGUAGGCGGCCCGAUUAGUCCGCUGUGAAAGUCCAGGGCUCAACCCUGGAAUGCCGGUGGAUACUGUCGGGCUAGAGUCCGGAAGGGGCGAGUGGAAUUCCUGGUGUAGCGGUGGAAUGCGCAGAUAUCAGGAGGAACACCGAUGGCGAAGGCAGCUCGCUGGGACGGUACUGACGCUGAGGCGCGAAAGCGUGGGGAGCGAACAGG